CAUUUGCGUUAGGGAUUGCAGUGAAAAUCCUUCUCUCCAAGCGAACUUGGGGAGAAGAUUGCAACGAAAAGCCCGCCCCCCC
rnacentral:sRNA from 1 species